rnacentral:rRNA from 1 species
AGAACGAACGCUGGCGGCAUGCCUAAUACAUGCAAGUCGAACGAACACUUCGGUGUUAGUGGCGCACGGGUGCGUAACGCGUGGGAAUCUGCCCUUGGGUUCGGAAUAACAGUUGAAACGACUGCUAAUACCGGAUGAUGACGAAAGUCCAAAGAUUUAUCGCCCAGGGAUGAGCCCGCGUAGGAUUAGCUAGUUGGUGAGGUAAAGGCUCACAGGCGACGAUCCGUUAGCGUGGUCUGAGAGGAUGAAUCAGCCACACUGGGACGUGAGACACCGGCCCAGACCUCCGUACGGGACGCAGCGGGUAGGGAAUAGUUGGACAAGUGGGCG